rnacentral:rRNA from 1 species
GAAAUGCGAUACGUAAUGCGAAUUGCAGGACCUCGUGAAUCAUCAAAAUUUUGAACGCACAUUGCGCUUUUGGGUAAUUCCCAAGAGCAUGCUUAUCUGAGUGUCCCUAAACCCCACUCAGCCAUUGCUGCAUGUAAAAGUGUUGGCGGUGAGCUGGACUAUGACUUUGCGAGGCUUCGGCCCCGCUCUGUUGAAAUUCAAUCUGUUUGCUAUUGUACCUGGGCGGCUUCGGCUGCAGGUCAGAUGCGAACGCGACAAAGGAUUCGGUAGUUGAACUUCGGUUUGAUUCUUAUUCUGAGUUGCGGGAGCGGAAGACUAAACCGGGAACGACGGUGAUUUGGAGAGUAUGAUUCAACCCUGCUCCCCGAAAUGAAUGUAAUUUAUCUAUGGAUCUCAGAUUAAGUAAGACUACCCGCUGAAUUUAAGCAUAUAAUUAAGCGGAGGAAAAGAAACUAACAAGGAUUCCCC